UACGUAGGGUGCGAGCGUUGUCCGGAAUUAUUGGGCGUAAAGCGCACGUAGGCGGUUCGUUAAGUCGGAUGUGAAAGCCCUCGGCUCAACUGAGGAAGUGCACCCGAAACUGGCGAGCUUGAGUACGAAAGAGGAUCGCGGAAUUCCCGGUGUAGAGGUGAAAUUCGUAGAUAUCGGGAGGAACACCGGUGGCGAAGGCGGCGAUCUGGGUCGAUACUGACGCUGAGGUGCGAAAGCGUGGGGAGCAAACAGGG
rnacentral:rRNA from 1 species